rnacentral:rRNA from 1 species
UCGGACGGGGUGAGUAACGCGUGAGAAUCUAGCUUCAGGUCGGGGACAACCACUGGAAACGGUGGCUAAUACCGGAUAUGCCGAGAGGUGAAAGGCUUGCUGCCUGAAGAUGAGCUCGCGUCUGAUUAGCUAGUAGGUGUGGUAAAAGCGCACCUAGGCGACGAUCAGUAGCUGGUCUGAGAGGAUGAUCAGCCACACUGGGACUGAGACACGGCCAAGAACUCCUACGGGAGGCAGCAUGGGGAAUUUUCCGCAAUGGGCGAAAGCCUGACGGAGCAAUACCGCGUGAGGGAGGAAGGCUCUUGGGUUGUAAACCUCUUUUCUCAGGGAAGAAAAAAAUGACGGUACCUGAGGAAUAAGCAUCGGCUAACUCCGUGCCAGCAGCCGCGGUAAUACGGAGGAUGCAAGCGUUAUCCGGAAUGAUUGGGCGUAAAGGGUCCGCUGGUGGCUAUGUAAGGGUGCUGUUAAAGAACCUAGCUUAACUAGGUAAAAGCAGUGGAAACUACAAGGCUAGAGUGCGUUCGGGGUAGAGGGAAUUCCUGGUGUAGCGGUGAAAUGCGUAGAUAUCGGAAGAACACCAGUGGCGAACGCGCUCUACUACGGCCGCAACUGACACUGAUGGACGACAGCUACGGGAGCGAAUGGGAUUACGAUACCCCAGUAGUCCACGCGUUUCUUCCCCCGU